GACGUAGGGCGCGAGCGUUGUCCGGAUUUAUUGGGCGUAAAGAGCUCGUAGGCGGCUUGUUGCGUCAGCUGUGAAAACCCGCAGCUCAACUGUGGGCUUGCAGCUGAUACGGGCAGGCUUGAGUUCGGUAGGGGAGACUGGAAUUCCUGGUGUAGCGGUGAAAUGCGCAGAUAUCAGGAAGAACACCCGUGGCUAAGGCGGUUCUCUAGUACGGUACUGACGCUGAGACGCGAAAGCGUGGGGAGCGAACAGG
rnacentral:rRNA from 1 species